rnacentral:misc_RNA from 1 species
UUAUUGAUAAGGCAAUUCUCAUAAACUAGUGUCACGUCCUAAGGUCGGGUCGAAUGAUUUUGGAUUAAUUUCUAGUUUUUCCAUUUCUUGUACUGUAAAAUAUACCAAAAUGGCUAAGAAAACUUACGACUUGUUGUUCAAAUUACUCCUUAUUGGUGACUCUGGUGUAGGGAAAACAUGUAUAUUGUUCAGAUUUUCGGACAACCACUUCACGACGACGUUUAUAUCUACAAUCGGAAUCGACUUUAAAAUAAAGACUGUGGAGCUGCGCGGUAAGAAGAUAAAGCUUCAGAUAUGGGACACAGCGGGUCAGGAGAGAUUCCACACCAUCACCACGUCGUACUACCGCGGCGCGAUGGGCAUCAUGCUGGUGUACGACAUCACCAACGAGAAAACAUUUGACGACAUUGUCAAGUGGCUACGGAAUAUAGACGAGCAUGCCAACGAAGAUGUGGAGAAGAUGAUCCUUGGCAACAAGUGCGACAUGGAGGAGAAGCGAGUGGUCAGCAAGGAGCGAGGGGAGGCGAUAGCGCGCGAGCACGGCAUUCGCUUCAUGGAGACGUCGGCGAAGGCGAACAUCAACAUCGACCGCGCGUUCUCGGAGCUGGCGGAGGCCAUCCUGGACAAGACGUCGGGACGCGAGGCCGACGCCGACCACGCGCGCAUCGCCGUCGAGCGCCGGCCGUCGCGCGCGCCGCCCGCCCGCGCCUGCUGCUCCUAGGCCGCGCUGCUGCUCCUAGGCCGCGCUGCGCCCAGGCCGCGCUGCUGCCAGCCCGCGCCGCCCGCUCCGGGGCCGCGAACGCGCUGCACACUUUACACUGCUUGUCCUAAAGAAUGAGCUCACUUACUGUACAUAGCACUUGUUCAUCAUUUAGCUUUUCAAAUUCUUCGUCAUCGUAAUCAUAGCUCCGGUCGUUUCUUUUUUUAUAAAGCAUGUAUUCGAGUUUCAGAUAGUAUAGUCGCCCAUGAUAUGUCUAGUCGCUAGUCGGGUGCAACUGAAGAAGCUGGUUCCGAACAAUGGACGUUACGAAUCUAUAGUAUUUGGUCUGAAGUAAUGUCUCAUGUUUAAUUUAAUUAUUCCUCGCUUAGGAGUGUCUUUUUAUACUUAAAUGUUUAGAGUGUAAAUGGUAUAGUAAUUAAAGUUAAGCCACAAACAUUCAGCCGCAUCUCAUAUCGUAAUGGUUGAAUGAUAGGGAAUUUAAAUAAUUCCCGAUAACAGCAACGCACACCAACAGAACGCUUUUCAUACACAUUAUAAAUGCCAAUGUAUUGCACCAGUUGUCGAAGCGACGAACAAGGCAACGCAAAGCGACACUGUUAAACUUCUACAUAUUUUGUAUUUAGUGUGGGCUCGUCGCCAAUGUGUCGUAGCUGAGCAGGCGGAGGAGCUUCACCGAGCGCUGGUGCCUCGCGCCGGCAACUGGCGCUCUACAGUUCGUUAGCAAUAGUUCAGACAGUGAAGUUUUUCAUAGCAUGUAGAUGAACUAACUCAUAAAGUUUAUGUAUAUGUAAUGUUCAUGUUUGUCGCCGACAUCGGGAUGUGCAAGCAUUCUGCCGGCAGACUGUUGCUUACUGCACUAGUGCGGCAGUGGCUGCGUCUGCUGCACACAUGCCGGAGCCCGAGGGUGCGCCAGACAAUUUUGCUAAAACAUUAGCGUUCUAGCAGAAUUGUACUACGGUUAUAGUUAAUUAUUUAAGUAAUUAUACUCUAUGGUUAUGUACGUUGAUGAAAUUAAAAUAAAAAACUAUUUUAUCGUACGGUGUAUGUGUCUCGUCGGUUUUUACCUGCUUUUAUAAAUAAACAUCGGCAUUGUAUAUUAUGUUUAUAUUAAAUUACUUAUCAUAA